GCUGCUCACCGGUCUUGUGGUUUGUGGAUGAGGACCAGAACCCAUUGAUCUGUACACUGGAGGGAAGGCACUGAUCACUGGGGCUGGUGACCUAUAUGUGAAAGCGUGACUGACAGCAGUUGCGAUUGCAAAACAAACUGGAGAAGAAAUGAAGAAAUGCCUCAUGCUGAGGAUGCACUCAAAUGAAAACUCAGAAAUGAAAAGUCAGAAAGGCAAUUAAGUGAUCUGUGCAUGGAUGCUACUGCUGUCUCCAGAAGAAAAAAUGAGUGCUUAAUCAGAAGCAUAAAUUCAUAAGACUGGCUAAUGAUACUCUCCUUCAACCUGAGCACUUCUACUGGAACAGAAGGAUAUUCAAAAUCUUCCUGUCUCCUGGAAAGUCCAUAGAGCUGGAGGCAGUAUCACGGAAUCCUUGGUUAGCAAAGUGAGUGGGAAUAUAUGUGAGUUGGAAAAUAUAUCCACAAGACCACUGGAAACUGCAUAUUUUUAUUUAAACUCGAUCCUGCUGUGCUUAGUGUCAGAGCUAAAAAGUGAACCUGGUAUGAACAGAAAGUGAAGCAGAAAACUACAAUUUGGCUUCCCCAGAUCAGCAAAUGGCAAAAUCAACCAGGGCUUUGUCAGAGUGGAAGAGCUCCAAUUGGUUAAUACUCAGACAGGCUGUUGAAGUUCCAGUCUGGUUUUCUAAUUUAGAAGUGCUACUGGAUGACAUAAAUGUUUGAAUGGAAAGGAACAUAGGAGACCUAAUAGGAAAUCUGUAGCCAGAGUGCCCUAUUACUUCACCACAGACUCUUAGGAGAUGGUUCUCUUCCCUCAUCCCUAAAAGUAAAGGUGAUCUUAGUUUAUCUGGCUUCUCAGCUAACCUGUUACAGAAGGCCACCUCAAUAUUUGAAAAGUACCGAGUUUAUUUGAAAAACAUUAAGUCUUGCAAUGGAUUACAUUGGAAGAGAGGCUAACUGGGCUGGAGAUUGGGGAGUGCUUUGAGCAGUCUUAACUGAUGGAAGGAGAAGAUAGGCAGGGAAGGAAAAAACUCCCCUGCCUACUAAAAUGCCACGUACCUAGGACUGGUCCUGUGUAAACUCUCAGAGCUCCCAAGUACUGGCUUUUAUACUGUACUUCAAGUGAGACCAAAGGAUGGAAAACUGGUCGUCUGAGUUAUUUUGAGGUUUUUAUUAUGUUCAGGGAUUAAUUUGGAUGACAACAAUGGUGUUUUUAGUGCAACAAGUAGAAUUAAGUAAGCAGUCUGGCAGAAGAUCUGAGAAGCAGAAGGUGAAAAUAAAUAAAAUGGAGCAGUGAAGAAUGCAGAAAGAAACAGAAAGUGUUCAAAGGCAUGCAAACGCGAUGAAGGCUGAAGCCAAAUUCAUAUGCAAACAUCUAAGAACUGCUUAGUGAGUCCGUCCAAAAUCCUGCUCCUGAAGAAGAGAUUGGUUGGUGUUUACGGAACAGAAAACAUGUGUACUCAUAAAAUUUAAUGGAGUGGAAUUGCCUGAAAGAACGGGACCAUUUUUAAUACACCUUUCUGUGGCUCCUUGGUACAUAUGUGAACAAUUUUAAUAAAAAAUGUUGAUUCGUAGUGAUUCUUAGACGUCUUGUGGUUGAUCAUCUGUACUGGACAGAUGGAUUCGGUCACUGUAAGCCAAAUAAAUAAAUUAGCGCUAUCUUUGAAAUGUAUAGCUACACUUGGCAUCUGCAGUUACCGUACUCCCUCCCCUCAGUUCAGAUGCCUUCACCUACACUGCUGAACUGGCCUAACUUUAUAUU